rnacentral:misc_RNA from 1 species
AACGCACCCUGCACCCCUCGUCAGGGGGGUCUGCCUGUUUGAGUAUCGACUAUUGUUCUCCGGUGUGCUCCCUGCGCAUGCGCAUGAGGGGUCACCAAGUGAGUGGCGUUACCAGAUGAGCUUCCGCGCACGUAUUCCAUACCAUUCCAUACGCGCGGUGGCUUGAAUUGCAGCACGCUGAGGCCGUGUCAGAGCCGUUUGUGGGUGCCCCUCGGAAAUUUGGUCGGAGCCCUUACACUCCGUCUCUUCUUCCCCCCGUGUACUACGCGGGGGUGGGCAUUCAACCCCUCUCGGCCGUGCGCGCCCUAGCUUAACGAGUCCUACUACUGUGUGUACCACACAAAACUCGAUCUCAAAUCAGGUAGGAAUACCCGCUGAACUUAA